AACGUAGGAGACAAACGUUAUCCGGAGUUACUGGGCGUAAAGGGCGUGUAGGUGGUUUUGUAAGUCUGGCGUGAAAUUUUUCGGCUUAACCGGGAAAGGUCGUCGGAUACUGCAGGACUAGAGGACGGUAGAGGCGUGUGGAAUUCCGGGUGUAGUGGUGAAAUGCGUAGAGAUCCGGAGGAACACCAGUGGCGAAGGCGACACGCUGGGCCGUACCUGACACUGAUGCGCGACAGCAUGGGAGCAAACGAG
rnacentral:rRNA from 1 species